rnacentral:rRNA from 1 species
UACGGGGGGGGCAAGCGUUGUUCGGAAUUACUGGGCGUAAAGGGCGCGUAGGCGGUUCGCUAAGUUGAAUGUGAAAACUCUGGGCUUAACCCAGAGCCUGCAUUCAAUACUGGCGGGCUAGAGUUCUGGAGGGGAUAGCGGAAUUCCUGGUGUAGCGGUGAAAUGCGUAGAUAUCUGGAGGAACACCGGUGGCGAAGGCGGCAUCCUGGACCAAUACUGACGCUGAGGAGCGAAAGCCAGGGGAGCAAACGGG